CCUACGGGAGGCAGCAGUGGGGAAUAUUGGACAAUGGGCGAAAGCCUGAUCCAGCCAUGCCGCGUGUGUGAAGAAGGCCUUCGGGUUGUAAAGCACUUUCAGUGGGGAAGAAAGCCUUGGGGCUAAUACCCUCGAGGAAGGACAUCACCCACAGAAGAAGCACCGGCUAACUCCGUGCCAGCAGCCGCGGUAAUACGGAGGGUGCGAGCGUUAAUCGGAAUUACUGGGCGUAAAGCGCGCGUAGGCGGUCUGAUAAGCCGGUUGUGAAAGCCCCGGGCUCAACCUGGGAACGGCAUCCGGAACUGUCAGGCUAGAGUGCAGGAGAGGAAGGUAGAAUUCCCGGUGUAGCGGUUAACUGCGUAGAGAUCGGGAGGAAUACCAGUGGCGAAGGCGGCCUUCUGGACUGACACUGACGCUGAGGUGCGAAAGCGUGGGUAGCAAACAGGAUUAGAUACCCUAGUAGUC
rnacentral:rRNA from 1 species